rnacentral:rRNA from 2 species
CAUGUCUGGAAGGCCGAAGAGAUUUGGCUGUGCUCGCAAGAGAACCGGAACACAGGUGCUGCAUGGCUGUCGUCAGCUCGUGUCGUGAGAUGUUGGGUUAAGUCCCGCAACGAGCGCAACCUUUGUCAUUAGUUGCUACGAAAGGGCACUCUAAUGAGACUGCCGGUGACAAACCGGAGGAAGGUGGGGAUGACGUCAAGUCCUCAUGGCCCUUAUGGGUAGGGCUUCACACGUCAUACAAUGGUCGGGACAGAGGGUCGCCAACCCGCGAGGGGGAGCCAAUCCCAGAAACCCGAUCGUAGUCCGGAUUGCAGGCUGCAACUCGCCUGCAUGAAGUCGGAAUCGCUAGUAAUCGCGGAUCAGCAUGUCGCGGUGAAUACGUUCCCGGGUCUU